rnacentral:rRNA from 1 species
UUAACCAAAACAUUACCAAAAAUUUUAAGUGUAUCAGAAUCAAUUAAGUUAAUUUGAUUUAAAGUUUUAGAUGUGUAUUAUGUACAAAUGAUUUUGAAUGUUAUCAGAUAUUGUUGAGUUAAUUAUUUAAUAGUUAAUUAGGGUGCCAGCAACUGCGGCUAGACCCAUUUUAAUAAAGUUUACUAAUAUUUAUUAGGUAAAAAUUAAUUGAAUUUUCAGGUUAAUUACUUUUUGUGAAAUUUAGAGUAAGUAAAGUUUUUAUUUGGUUGUAAAAAUAAUUUUUAAAAAACUUAUAUAAACUUGGAUCCUAUUCUAAUUAUAAGGUUUUAAAAAUUUUUAUUACCAUAAAGAAUAAAAAAAUUUGGCGUAUUCUUCAUUUUUUGGGGAGUGUGGGAAGAGAAUGGAAUUUGCACAAAGUAUUCUGUUAAAGUUAAAUAAUUAUGCUAGUGUACGGUUGUCUAGUUUGGAGAUAUCUUCAAGAGUUUUAAGUAUCUUUAAUACAAAUCAAUGUGCUGCAAUAUUUUAGAUUUUUUCGUUCACUACAGUUAUACCUAUUAGAAAAAUUUAAUUAUUUUUUUUAUUUUUGAAUAAAAAAUUUGGGUUAGAACUAGAAAGUAAAAAAUUAUUAGUUAGAAUUUUUGAAAAUAUACGUAGAAUAUGUACACAUUGCCCGUCAACCUUUUUUGAAAGGUAAGUCGAAACAUGUUAAGUGUAGCUGAAGCUGCACUUA